UACGUAGGGUGCGAGCGUUGUCCGGAAUUACUGGGCGUAAAGCGUGCGUAGGUGGUUUGUUAAGUCUGAUGUGAAAGCCCUGGGCUCAACCUGGGAAUUGCAUUGGAUACUGGCAGGCUAGAGUGCGGUAGAGGGUAGUGGAAUUCCCGGUGUAGCAGUGAAAUGCGUAGAGAUCGGGAGGAACACCAGUGGCGAAGGCGACUACCUGGACCAGCACUGACACUGAGGCACGAAAGCGUGGGGAGCAAACAGG
rnacentral:rRNA from 1 species